rnacentral:rRNA from 1 species
UACGUAGGGUGCAAGCGUUGUCCGGAAUUAUUGGGCGUAAAGGGCGCGUAGGCGGGGAUAUAAGUCAGACGUGAAAUCCCGGGGCUCAACCCCGGAACAGCAUUUGAAACUAUAUCUCUUGAGGGUAGGCGGAGAAAACGGAAUUCCACAAGUAGCGGUGAAAUGCGUAGAUAUGUGGAAGAACACCGGUGGCGAAGGCGGUUUUCUAGCUUAUUCCUGACGCUAAAGCGCGAAAGCAAGGGGAUCAAACAGG